GUGCUCAUUUUGAAAACAUAUAUACUAAAAUUGGAAAGAUACAUAGAAGAUAGCAUGGUCCCUGAGCAAGGAUAAGAUACAAAUUUGUAAAGCAUUUCAUAUUUUU